AUGGCCUCCUCAUCGGCGUCGUCGUUUCCAGGCUCCGUGAUCACCAUGGCAUCCUCGGCGGCGGCGGUUGGCGCCGCGAGCUCCGGGGCGGCCGGCACGGGCUCGCCGUGCGCGGCCUGCAAGUUCCUCCGGCGCAAGUGCCAGCCCGACUGCGUGUUCGCUCCCUACUUCCCGCCGGACAACCCGCAGAAGUUCGUUCACGUGCACCGCGUCUUCGGCGCCAGCAACGUCACCAAGCUGCUCAACGAGCUGAACCCGUACCAGCGGGAGGACGCGGUGAACUCGCUCGCCUACGAGGCCGACAUGCGCCUCCGCGACCCCGUCUACGGCUGCGUCGGCGUCAUCUCCGUCCUCCAGCACCAGCUCCGCCAGCUCCAGCAGGACCUCACCCGCGCCAGAUACGAACUCUCGAAGUACCAGGCGGCUGCGGCGGUGGCGGUCUCGGCGUCUGUGGGUUGCAACGGGACGCCGGCAAUGGCGGAUUUCAUCGGCAACACGGUGCCCAACUGCACGCAGAACUUCAUCAACAUCAGCCACUCCACGGCGAUCGGCGCGGGUCUUGGGUUCGGGCACGACCAAUUCGCGGCCGUUCAGAUGCUGGCCAGGAGCUACGAGGGGGAGGGCGCUGUCGCGAGACUCGGCGUGAACGGCGGCAGCAGCGGCGGCUACGACUUCGGGUACACAUCAGCCAUGGGCGCCGGGCCGGUGUCCGGCCUCGGCCCGCUGAGCGGCGGACCGUUCUUGAAACCUGGCACGGCCGGUGGGGACGAGAGGCACACCGCCGCGCAGUAG
rnacentral:rRNA from 1 species